UUAGAUAUCUGGAAUUGUAAGAAUAUAGAAUCUUUAACAGUUUCUGAACAACAUGGACAUGAUUUAAUGGCCUUGCGUCGUAUUUACAUUAGGGAUUGCCCCAAUUUUGUAUCUUUUCCAAAAGGAGGAAUUCGUGCCCCCGACCUUUCAUCCUUUUCGGUCUCCAAUUGUGAGAGUCUGAUGUCUCUGCCAGAGAAGAUGCAUGUACUCCUUCCUUCUCUUAAUUCUUUUCAAAUUAGUUUAUGUCCAAGAAUUGAGUUGUUUCCUGAAGGAGGCUUGCCUUCCAAUGUUAAAUAUAUGAAAGUCUGGACAUGUGACAAACUCUUUGCCAGACGGGCGGGAUGGGGUUUGCCAAAACUCCUAUCUCUUAUAGUCAGUUGCACAAAUGAAGACGUGGAGUCCUUUCCAGAGCCAGGGUUGCUGCCUUCUUGUCUGCCUGACCUUCGUAUCUCUGGAUUUCCAAAUAUGAAAUCUUUGGACAACAAAGGGCUUCAAGACCUCACCUCUCUUCAACAAUUGUUGGUCAUGAACUGCCCCAAGCUCGAGUACAUUCCAAAAGAGGGGUUGCCUACCUCCCUUUCAAUAAUAGAGAUCAUUAGAUGCCCUUUGUUGAGGAAACGGUGGCAAAGCAAGAAAAAAAAAAGAGCGGCGAAACAUUCCGGACGUCGAUCACAUAUUGAUUGAUGAUGAAGAAUAUAUUGAAUGAGCCAAAAGCCUCGGAAUUAUACAUGCACAUCAUCUCGAAGGCGGCAACAACAUAUUCACUUAGGUUCACCUUCCAUUGUUAUAUAUGCUUAGAAUUGAAAAUUUUUCGCUACUGCCCGCCCCAGUUGAAUUUUCUUCUUAAGUUGCGUGCCUCCCUUUCUUCUAUAUGGAUCAACAAAUGCCCUAAGUUGAAGAAAGGAAACGAACAGCAAAGAGCUUGGGUUACAAUUACGAGAAGCAAAUAGAAUUUGUGAUCCUGCGAGGCAUGAACUCUUGAAGGUACAACAUGGGUGUAAUACCAUCGAAGCAAAAUAUUGAUGCUCUAAAAGUUAGUGUUUUCUGGAAUGGUGUUGUUUUCAAUUGGAUUAUAGGGGCUAAUUGUCAAUAAAAUUAAUCCUUCAUGGAACAAAGUGCUUUGCCACUUUUUAGUUCUUCCUGGUCACCUUCCAUUGUCAUAUGCUUAGAAUUGAAAAUCUUUUGGUGCUUCUGGCCAAUCUCCUUCCCAUUUGGGAUUUUCCUCUUAAGACGAAGGGUUGCUUGCCUCCCUUUUUAUAGUAGAAAUCAACAAAUGCCUUUUGUCGAGGAAACAGUGGCAAACCAAGAAACAAAAAAGAACGGCGAAAGAUUCCUAACGUCGAUCACAUACUGAUUCAUGGUGAAUAUAUUGGAUGAGCUAAAAUCCUUGCAAGAGUCCCAUUUUCUGUUAUAAUGCAUGCACAUCAUCUCAAAGGCGACAACAAUAGACAACAAAAUAUAGAAGAUUGAAGAGCUCAGAUAAAGAGUACAAGACACAGAGACGGACAUAUAGAAUAUGUUGUAUUUGCUCCUUGAAUGCAAAAAGAGUGCUUAACUACUUGGAAGUUCUUCCAUUACUUGACCGUUCUCCGUUCUUAAAAUCUCUAAUUUUCCAAACAUAAAAUCUUUGGACAAGAAGGGGCUUCAACCGCUGACAUCUCUGGAAGAAUAAUGGAUCUAUAACUGCCCUGUUCUCUAGUACAUGCCAGAAGAGGGGCUACUUGCCUUCGUUUCUAUUCUAUUGAUCAGCAAAUGUCCUUUGUUAAAGAAAUAGUAUCAUAGAAAAAAAGGAAGAGAAUGGUGCAAGACUGCUCAUGUCCAUCUAAUAAUGAUUGAUGAUGAAUUGAUUGAAUAUUUGAAUGAGCUAAAAUUAUAGUAGGAAUCCCCACUUAGAAUGUAGGAGAUGGAAGAGCUUGGUUAUGAAUACACAAAGUCGAGGCUUGCAUAUACACAGAUCAUGAGAAAUUUUGGAACUUUAGAUUUGCUGAAGUGUAGGCUUUGAAUUACCAAUCACUACCUUUUCUUCUGAUAGUUGCUAUGUGGGAAAAGGGUGCCUCAUAUCCAGCUUGCACUGCGCCAACUGUUGCAGGUUUUGAUGCAAAACUGUUAACAGAUUAUCUGUUCAUUAAACAAUGCAGAAAUGGAAAUUUUAUAUCGUUUGUCAUCUAAGGACCCUUUGAAGUUCUCCAAGAGGUGGAAGCUUACCCUAUAUCAGAAUCAUCCUUAAUUCUUACACAUUCGUCGUCUAUUCUCAGCCUUGUUGACGUGGUAUGAAUUUCUCCCUCAUUUAAGGAGGUGGGCCCCGCUGGAUUUGUAAGUCCUUGUGUGGGUUUUGGUUUGAUUUCUAGCAAGAGAGACAAAUAAAAGGGUACUAAAGUGAGAAAAUAGAGACCAACCUUCAUUUGUUUUCAGCAAAAGAAGAGUUUGUAUUUCUUUCUUUUGGAGAAUAAUCUCUAUUGUGUGAUAAUGAGAUUUCGGUGUAUUGGGGCUUUGGAUUCUAAGUGAUUUUCUUUUUAUUAUUUUGUACUCCGUCUUUUAAUAGUGAAUUUUCU